rnacentral:rRNA from 1 species
CCUACGGGUGGCAGCAGUGGGGAAUAUUGCACAAUGGGGGAAACCCUGAUGCAGCGACGCCGCGUGAGCGAAGAAGUAUUUCGGUAUGUAAAGCUCUAUCAGCAGGGAAGAAGAAAGACGGUACCUGACUAAGAAGCCCCGGCUAACUACGUGCCAGCAGCCGCGGUAAUACGUAGGGGGCAAGCGUUAUCCGGAUUUACUGGGUGUAAAGGGAGCGCAGACGGCAUGGCAAGUCUGAAGUGAAAGGCAUGGGCUCACCCCGUGGACUGCUUUUGAAACUGUCAGGCUAGAGUGUCGGAGAGGCAAGUGGAAUUCCUAGUGUAGCGGUGAAAUGCGUAGAUAUUAGGAGGAACACCAGUGGCGAAGGCGGCUUGCUGGACGAUGACUGACGUUGAGGCUCGAAAGCGUGGGGAGCAAACAGGAUUAGAUACCCUGGUAGUC